UACGUAGGGUGCAAGCGUUGUCCGGAAUUAUUGGGCGUAAAGAGUUCGUAGGCGGUUUGUCACGUCGGGAGUGAAAACUCAGGGCUUAACCCUGAGCCUGCUUCCGAUACGGGCAGACUAGAGGUAUGCAGGGGAGAAUGGAAUUCCUGGUGUAGCGGUGAAAUGCGCAGAUAUCAGGAGGAACACCAAUGGCGAAGGCAGCUCGCUGGAACGGUACUGACGCUGAGGCGCGAAAGCGUGGGGAGCAAACAGG
rnacentral:rRNA from 1 species